CGCGUGAAGGAAGAAGGAUCUAUGGUUUGUAAACUUCUUUUAUAGGGGAAUAAAGUGGAGGACGUGUCCUUUUUUGUAUGUACCCUAUGAAUAAGCAUCGGCUAACUCCGUGCCAGCAGCCGCGGUAAUACGGAGGAUGCGAGCGUUAUCCGGAUUUAUUGGGUUUAAAGGGUGCGUAGGUGGUGAUUUAAGUCAGCGGUGAAAGUUUGUGGCUCAACCAUAAAAUUGCCGUUGAAACUGGGUUACUUGAGUGUGUUUGAGGUAGGCGGAAUGCGUGGUGUAGCGGUGAAAUGCAUAGAUAUCACGCAGAACUCCGAUUGAGAAGGCAGCUUACUAAACCAUAACUGACACUGAAGCACGAAAGCGUGGGGAUCAAACAGGAUUAGAUACCCUGGUAGUCCACGCAGUAAACGAUGAUUACUAGGAGUUUGCGAUACAAUGUAAGCUCUACAGCGAAAGCGUUAAGUAAUCCACCUGGGGAGUACG
rnacentral:rRNA from 1 species